UACGUAGGGUGCAGGCGUUAAUCGGAAUUACUGGGCGUAAAGCGCUCGCAGGCGGUUUCUUAAGUCAGAUGUGAAAGCCCCGGGCUUAACCUGGGAACUGCGUUUGAAACUGGGAGACUUGAGUGUGGCAGAGGGGGGUGGAAUUCCACGUGUAGCAGUGAAAUGCGUAGAUAUGUGGAGGAACACCGAUGGCGAAGGCAGCCCCCUGGGUUAACACUGACGCUCAUGCACGAAAGCGUGGGGAGCAAACAGG
rnacentral:rRNA from 1 species